rnacentral:lncRNA from 1 species
CAGCUCCUAACCGCGAGUGAUCUGCCAGCCUCGGCCUCCCGAGGUGCCGGGUUUGCAGACGGAGUCUGGUUCACUCAGUGCUCAAUGGUGCACAGGCUGGAGUGCAGUGGCGUGAUCGAGGCUCGCUACAACCUCCACCUCCCAGCCGCCUGCCUUGGCCUCCCAAAGUGCCGAGAUUGCAGCCUCUGCCUGGCCCCCCAUCGUCUGGGACGUGAGGAGCCCCUCUGCCUGGCUGCCCAGUCUGGAAAGUGAGGAGCGUCUCUG